CUGCAGGUGUGCGCCUGGCGGGGCUUCCGAGGCCUGCUGUCCUCGCACAUGUUGUCAGAAAAAGUCAGCCAGCAUUUUAGGACGAGUGGCACAGACGUCUCCCCUCCUGGUGGCAGAUUUUGGGGAAGGAGACAUAUUCAACAUAGCAGACAAGUUAUGUCCUUAAUUUGACUUCAGAAGGAAACAUCUUGCCAUUUCUGUCCCUGGGAUGGAGGUUGGCACGCAGGAGGUUCAUCACUGAUGGCUUACAAGAAGGAUGCGUACAAGCAAUCAUAAAAGGUAAAAUCUUAAAACAAAAAGAAAAAUGAACCCCGUUCCUUGAAGCGUCAGAGAACCCUGGAACCCAAUGGCCAGAAACACCCAAACAUGGAGAAUGAUGUUUGCUGUUAAAACAACUGCAUUCAAGUAAAGCAACAACUAAUAAACUUCCAGGAUAUAAUGAUCAUUGGGAAUCAUCAGGA